rnacentral:lncRNA from 9 species
AGAGGACGGUCUGGCCUGAGCCGAGAGCUGGGUCCACGGCUGCGGGGAGAGGGCUCGCGCCCACGCGCGGCAGAGAAUCAGCCGGGAAGGAGUCCUCUAUGCUGGCAGCGGGGCCAAGGACAGGUCCCUGGACCCAGCCAAGAGGGCGCAGCUGCAGAGGAGGCUGGACAAGAAGCUGGAGGAGCUGACCGGCCAGAGGAAGGGCAGGAAGAAGGAGAAGGGGCAGUGAGGGCCAGCGCCACGCCGCCUCCGGGCCCAGCGUCGUUGGCGAUGUGGCUGCAGGGCGAGUGGGCUUCCCCCAGCCUCUUUCUGUUCCCUGUGGCUGCUCCUGGCGACAGGGGUGCUGCCAGACCCAAGCCGUCCUCCAAGCCGCGGGGCCAGGUGCCUGCCAGUGGCAAGCUUCUCUGACGCACUGGAUGGCGGCAGAGAGGCCACGCCAGGGCCAGCGGCCCCUCCUCAGGGCUGGGGGGCGGCCCGGGGGCACUGUGUGCCAUCCUCACUCCCGCCCGGACCGUUUCCCGUCUCAUCUUCCCUCCUGGUCAGCACCGAAUCCCCAGCCUCUGAGCCCCGGGCGGCCGCGGGGACAGCAGGAGCCGCACCUCCGAGAUGAGCCUGGGCCUCAGACUCCGCGAGAGCGACGUCCUGCCGCCCAGGGCCGGCUGGCCGCCCGCCCAUCAGGUGAGACGGCGCACGGCUAAGGCACUCGGAGCCCGCCUGCCCCGGGUCCCCGGGCGGCCCGCCUCUGCUGGAGCCGGACUUCACCGAGGUCAUUUUCUGUCUCCUGUGGCUGCAGCCACCCCACCCUGACCGGACAGGGCAGCAGACAGAGCCCUGGCCGUCCCCUGCUCCCGGCAAGUCUGGCGUCGCCCCAGAGUGUGGCUUACGGGGGCGCCCUGGCCUGGCCCAACCUGUCCCCGUGCUGUUCCCGGUGUCAGUCCUGCGAAGGGGUGGCCCUGGGCGCCCGCCUUGCUGACACGCUCACCCUGAGCCCUGGGGGUGUCUCCGAGAACCUCUCCUGGAUGUGUUGUUUUAGCCUCAGGGAUUUCUUUGUUUCAAAAAGGUGUAAAUUAUUUAAAAGUUAAAUGACUUAUGCCCGCUGCCCACAGGCUGUCUGUUAUGUGUCUCAGACGCUCACUCUUCCCCUCUGUGCCCCAAGGGUCCAGGGCGAGCUCUGAACACUCGGGCCUGGGAGGGCUCUGUUCUGGGAGCAGAGACGGGAGAAAACCUCCCUGUCGUGCUCGAUUUUUCUACCACGAGAGUCAGGGCGGCACGUUUCGGGUCCCAGACGGAUGAGGAGGACACAGGGCCGGGGCUGGCCUCCGCCCCGCUCACGGGCAGGAGGUGCCGUGGGGCCGGGGCCUCCCCCUCAGGUCUUGCCCUGCCUGUGUCCCGUCCUGGCCCCUCCUCACCUGGGCCUCGUGUCCCCUCCCCCAGUUGUCAUUCCUGUCCCCUGCGCCUUCAGUGUGACUGGUCUUCAGGGGUCUGUGUUUUUGGCCUCAGGAGCCCCGUCUGUUCUGUUGUUGUGCCAUUGACCCCGUGUGUCAUCCUGCACCUCGAUGGCGCCUGACCUCCUGCCAGGCUCACGUGCCUGACCACUGCAUCUGCCAUUCCGGGCCCCGCCACCCAGCCUGGCUCCCUCUGUGUCCCUUCUUGUGGGGAUGACCUGGCACCCCUCUCUGUCCCCUCUCGUGGGAAUGGCCUGGUGCCCCUCUCCGUGUCCCCUCUCUGUGCCCCCUCUCGUGGGGAUGGCCUUGUCCCCUCUCCAUGUCCCCUCUCGUGGGAUGGCCUGCCCCCUGCCCAGGCCCCAUGCCCACUCUGCACCAGAGCCCCUCCCCCCCUUGCGUGGGCGUCUUGCUUGUUCACUCCUAUCGAGUGACUUUAGGACUGAACUUUUCAGGAAGCGGGAGGAGCGGGGACCCCCUGCGUCGUGUGUUUAAGUGCUACAUGUGGUCUGGCAGUGAUUUCCAUCAGCCCAGAGCCCUGCUGUUCGCAGAGCGUCCCCGACUCAGCCCGGGUUCCGGCUGCCCUCAAGGACACUGGCUGCUGGAAACAUGGUCAGGGUUGCAGGGUCAGGAGGUGUCUGCAUUUGAAGCAUCGUGUCUUGGUGGCUGAGGAGCAUGGUGGCAGCUCGUUCACCUGCCGAGGAUGCUAAUCUUCCUGUCUCCGUGGUAAUAGGCCUUGAUCCAUGGGCCACAGGGAGGCUCUGGGUCCUCGACUGGGUCAGAGAACACACCUUAAUGGCCACAGCAAGGCCAGGUUCAGGGAUGGGCCAGAGUCCAAACAGGCCCAUCAGGCGUCUACCCUGGGAUCCACACACAGGAGCUGGAAGAAAGAUGGCCGCCCUCCCUGCCACCUCGAGGAAGCCUGCGUGCAGGAGAGAAGGAGGCCAACCAGAAACAGCCAAGAAUGGACCAGGGUGAAUAACCUGAUCACACUGAGCACCUGGAUCCAGCCACACCUGACCUCCAGUCCAUUCUCAGUGCCUGAAAUAAUAAAUCCCCUUUCUAGC